rnacentral:rRNA from 1 species
AUUGAACGCUGGCGGCAGGCCUAACACAUGCAAGUCGAGCGGAUGAAGGGAGCUUGCUCCUGGAUUCAGCGGCGGACGGGUGAGUAAUGCCUAAGAAUCUGCGUGGUAGUGGGUGAUAACGGCCGGAAACGGGCGCUAAUACCGCAUACGUGCUUAGGGAGAAAGUGGGGGAUCUUCGGACCUCACGCUAUCAGACGAUCCUAUGUUGGAUUAGCUAGUUGGUGGGGUAAAGGCCUACCCAGGCGACGAUCCGUAACUGGUCUGAGAGGAUGAUCAGUCACAAUGGAACUGAGAACCCGUCCAGACUCCUAAGGGAGGCCGCAGUUGGGAAUAUUGGACCAUUGGCGGCAGCCUUAUCCCGCCCUGCCGCGUGUGUGAAGAAGGUCUUCCGAUUGGUAAGCACUUUUUGUUGGGAGGAAGGGCAGUCAGUUAAUAACUUGCUGGUUUGACGGUACCACCAGAAUAAGCACCGGCUAACUUCGUG